GCGUCGAAGAAGGAGAGCGGGGCGGAUAGCGGGCGUGUGCCGUGUGCCUGCUUUCGGCUCCCGCUCUUCUUCAAAUGUGGUGUUGGCGGCUGGUGUUCCUCAUGUUAUUCCUCUCCACUCUUCACAGCUACUGCACAUGGUGAAGACUCUGCAGCAUCAUCGCGGACGUGCGCUUAAUGUCGAGAGGUCGAGAGAGAGCGUGAGAGUUGUAGGAGUUUGUUGUCUUUGUAUCCAUGCCUGCUCUCUUACAACAUAUUUUUCUCGGCUUCAGCGGUCGUUGAGAGUGCCGACGCUUGCCCGAACGAUGUGCGGGGGUACUCAUGGCAUGUAUCGCUGUCUGGGUAGGUGUAUGUGCCUACUCGGUUGUGGCCAGUGUAGGUGUCGCCCACUCGUCUCAUCUGCUGAUCUUUUUUUUUUGUUUCUUCGUUGUGCCCAUGGACGUUGCGUUCCUCUUCGUCUUUACUCUCCCCCGGGCCCAUUCCCUCGCUGCAUCUCUCUCUCCCCUUGCAUCGCGUGCUCCGCCCCCUUCCCCCAAAAGAAAAACGCAAGGCACAGACAGACGGACAAAGACACGAAAGAGAGGGGACGGCGUGCGCGUGUGUCCGUCACUUGCUACAAUGCCACAUCGCUACCAAGUGGGGGCGAGCGCAUCCGCGCGUGCGUAUCUCUCCAUCACUUUCUCUCUCACUUGCGUUUCGCCUCGUGACGGCAGCUGACAUGUGCGAGCGCCUCUUCCCUUUUGCGUUUUUCUCAUGUUACUUCCUCUUCGAGCCCAACCCCCUUUUUUCCCACCUGCGCUAACUCACAUAACACACCCACACACACGUAAAAG
rnacentral:misc_RNA from 1 species